UGGCGGUGUUAGAGGUGAAUUCUUGGAUCGCCGCCAGACAAACUACAGCGAAAGCAUUUGUCAAGGAUGUUCUCAUUAAUCUUGAGCAAAAGUUAGAGGUUCGAAGACGAUCAGAUACCGUCCUAGUUCUAACCAUAAACGAUGCCAACUGACGAUCCGUGGUAGUUCUUUUAUUGGCUCCGCGGGCAGUCCCCGGGAAACCCAUAAGUCUUUGGGCUCCGGGGGAAGUAUGGUUGCAAAGCUGAAACUUAAAGGAAUUGACGGAAGGGCACCACCAGGAGUGGAGCCUGCGGCCUAAUUCGACUCAACACGGGAAAACUUACCCGGCCCGGACACUAUGAGGAUUGACAGAUUGAUAGCUCUUUCUUGAUUCGGUGGUUGGUGGUGCAUGGCCGUUCUUAGUUGGUGGAGUGAUUUGUCUGGUUAAUUCCGAUAACGAACGAGACUCUAGCCUGCUAAAUAGUAUGCCUGUUCCCUGUGCUCGUAUAGGCUGGGACGUAUACGGCCUCCCGAGGUCGUGUCGUUGUUGGUCGGCGGGUACGGCGCGGGUAUAUGCUUCUUAGAGGGACUAGCGGCGUAACAGUCGUACGAAAUUGAGCAAUAACAGGUCUGUGAUGCCCUUAGAUGUCCGGGGCCGCACGUGCGCUACAAUGACGGUUUCAGCGAGUUUGGAAUCCGAGCCUGAAAAGGUAAGGUAAACUGAACCAUAACCGUCGUGACUGGGAUCGGGGCUUGCAAUUAUUCCCCGUGAACGUGGAAUUCCUGGUAAGUGCAAGUCAUAAACUUGCGCUGAUUACGUCCCUGCCCUUUGUACACACCGCCCGUCGCUACUACCGAUUGAAUGGUUUAGCGAGGUCAUUAGAUUGGCGCCAUUGUAGCGGUUCCGACUGCUCGACCGGUGCUGAGAAGAUGACCGAACUUGGUCAUCUAGAGGAAGUAAAAGUCGUAACAAGGGUUUCCGUAGGUGAACCUGCGGAAGGAUCAUU
rnacentral:rRNA from 1 species